CUGAAGCCACACCUUUAUCUGAGUCUCAAGUUGAGAAAAUGGAACAGCCAUGAGGCAGGAGGAUGUCCCAGGCUUCCACCUGAGCUUCCACAAAAUGUACCGGGAGGUGAGAAGCACCCUGGCUGGGGAAGACCAUGCACUUCUGCCCAAAUCCCACUUCAUGUGUGAUGCCUCAGGCUCCUGUAGUCUUCUUUCUCCUUUCAUUCCAGCUCUGAAAAGCAAUGGGCAACUUGGUUUGGUCAUUCUCAUAUUGAUCAUUACCACUAAGAAGUUGUCACUCUACUAGUGAGAACAAGGAAACAAAGCAUCUUAAUGCCCACCCUUCUAUCUAUCUCAUCCAUGGCUUUUUAAAGCAAAACUCCCAACCCAAGGGGUACUUCACAGAGCAAAAGAUGAGUUGUGAUUCCCAAUGGACUUAAGUUCUAUUUUUAGAGAUGAUGCAACAUCACAGAGAUGUGUGAGGAAGGGCUCAAGGGGUUUGAUGGUCCUGUUGUAUUUUGUUCUUUUCACUUCUUCCCCCUCCCUCCUUGAAGAUCCCUGUGCUGCAGGCCCAGGAGGAGGAUUUUUGGGGAGGUGGGAUGAAGCUGGCCAAGGCCUGAGCGUGGCAUGAAAGAACUGAAGGCAGAAAUUACACCAAGUGAGACACACGUUAAGGCAGCAUCACAAAUAGAACAAAUGUGCUAAAAAAGACAGGAAAAUACUCUAGGAUUUAUCAGAACAUAUGGGAGUUAGAUGUGCUCAGAAAGGCUGAAAACAGCUUCAGCUGCACCAGCACUGGUCUCACCACCAAUCAAACAGAUCCCAAAUCACAGAGCAGGUUUAUACAAACCUCAUCUCUGUGUGGCUUUUCUUUUUACAUAGCAACAGAGGAAACUCUGAGAAACUGGAGCUGACAAUGAUCAGUACUAAAACCUGCAAAGGAACAGGCCAGACAGCAGCACUGGGAGAAAGCAGCGGGGGGAGAAGCCACACUGGGAACUACAAAAGCUCCACUCCUGCAGGGUCCGGGCUGCAGCAGAGGGGAGCAAAGCAAAGGUUUUUGUCCCUCUGAGCUCCUCCUCUUCAAUGCACCAAGCUGAAGGGAAGUGAAUGGAGAAGCAUCACAGUGAAAAUUCCUGAGAAAUUCCAUCUUUGGGAGAAAAAAAUUCCACGUGUUUUUUUCUUAAAGUAUUUCCAUACUUUGUUUCACUCUUGUACUGCAGUUUUAUAAGGAAUAAAUCUAGAUUUUGCAGAGCUCUUUGGUUUAAU
rnacentral:lncRNA from 1 species